GGCGAACGCUGGCGGCGUGCUUAACACAUGCAAGUCGAACGGAAAGGCCCUGCUUUUGUGGGGUGCUCGAGUGGCGAACGGGUGAGUAACACGUGAGUAACCUGCCCUUGACUUUGGGAUAACUUCAGGAAACUGGGGCUAAUACCGGAUAGGAGCUCCUGCUGCAUGGUGGGGGUUGGAAAGUUUCGGCGGUUGGGGAUGGACUCGCGGCUUAUCAGCUUGUUGGUGGGGUAGUGGCUUACCAAGGCUUUGACGGGUAGCCGGCCUGAGAGGGCGACCGGCCACAUUGGGACUGAGAUACGGCCCAGACUCCUACGGGAGGCAGCAGUGGGGAAUAUUGCACAAUGGGCGGAAGCCUGAUGCAGCAACGCCGCGUGCGGGAUGACGGCCUUCGGGUUGUAAACCGCUUUCGCCUGUGACGAGGCGUGAGUGACGGUAAUGGGUAAAGAAGCACCGGCUAACUACGUG
rnacentral:rRNA from 1 species